UACGUAGGUGGCAAGCGUUGUCCGGAUUUAUUGGGUUUAAAGGGUGCGUAGGCGGCCCCGUAAGUCAGUGCUGAAAUAUCCCGGCUUAACCGGGAGGGUGGCAUUGAUACUGUAGGGCUUGAGUGUAGUCGAGGUAGGCGGAAUUGACGGUGUAGCGGUGAAAUGCGUUAGAUAUCGUCAAGAACACCGAUAGUGUAGACAGCUUACUAGGCUACAACUGACGCUGAGGCA
rnacentral:rRNA from 1 species